rnacentral:rRNA from 1 species
UCCCCUAAGGAGCAAAUUGUCAGACACUCUAGGUAAGACGGAUUAACUCGGGGUAUCGCUCGACGGAAUUGUUAAACACGGAGCAAUGUAAGGAUAAAUGAUGGAAAGGCCUAUCCGGACUUAUUCCCUGGAUCUGCUCCAGGAUGGGACUGCGUCCGAUCAGGCUGUUGGCGGGGUAAUGGCCCACCAAACCAGUAACCAGUACGGGCCCGAGAGAGGGGGCCCGGAGAUGGGCACGAGAGAAGGGUUCAGGUCUUACCGGCGCAACAGGGGGGCACCUUUGACAAUGCAAGAUCAAAAGCGCUCUAGCACAAGGACUAGCACUGAGGGUGCCAAGGUCACCUUAAAUAAGAGGCGAAUAACACAGCCAACA